UUGUAAUGUUUCUAGCAAUGGCGAUGUCAGUGUAUCUGUGUUUGAGGGUGGUGAAGUUACGUUGUGAAGUGCCUCCUAAAUAAUAGUGUGUGAUAAACGUCUCCAGGUGUAGUAAAUGAAGUCCAGUAUGCUAUUUAACCAUACGAUCAUUGUGUUCAUUGCGUCAGAGGGAAUAUCUAGGGUUUUGUUGUCACCGGCCGCCAUGCUCAAACAAUAACGAUCGUAGUUUGAGGGAUGUGUGUCAAAUAUUUGUAUGUUUAAAUUUGAGAAACAUAAGUUGCGUUGCCAUGAAUUCGAAAACUGAUGUGAAUCGGAGAGUAUUUGCUAUUAAAGCUAAAAAGAAACGCCCGAAACCUGGUAAAAGAAAAGGAAAAAAUGAAAGAGAUGGAAGAGCAUACUCAAAUAAAGUAGAACCAUCUCAUUCGUCUUCAAACGAAACUAUAGAAGAUGAAGAUGAUUAUUUCAGCUCCGACGAUGAUGAGCAGGAGGAUCCUGCAGAUUAUUGCAAAGGUGGUUACCAUCCAGUCAAAAUAGGUGAUUUGUUUAACGGAAGAUAUCGUGUCACACGAAAGUUAGGUUGGGGUCAUUUUUCAACUGUAUGGCUUUGUUGGGAUCUGUAUGACAAGAAAUUUGUGGCACUGAAAGUUGUGAAGAGUGCUUCACAUUUCACGGAGACUGCCUUAGAUGAAAUAAAACUGUUGAAAGUCGUGCGGGAAAGUGAUGUUAACGAUCAUAAACGAAACAAAACAGUACAACUCUUGGACGAUUUUAAAAUAAGCGGUGUUAAUGGAACACACGUGUGUAUGGUAUUCGAAGUUCUUGGUCAUAAUUUGUUAAAAUUAAUCAUCAGAAGUAACUACCAUGGCAUUCCAACAGAGAAUGUAAAAUCUAUUAUUCGACAAGUAUUAGAAGGUUUGGACUACUUACAUACCAAAUGUAAAAUUAUUCAUACUGAUAUAAAACCUGAAAACGUUUUGGUAUGUGUAGACGAAAAUUAUAUUAGGAGACUUGCCUGCGAGGCUACAGAACUUCAUACAAUGGGCCUUAAACUGCCUGUAUCAUUAGUCAGCACUGCACCAAGGGAGGAACCGGAUCCAAAUGUAAAAAUGUCAAAAAAUAAGAAGAAGAAAUUAAAAAAGAAAGCAAAGCGCCAGACUGAACUGCUGAGAAAGCAAAUGGAACAGAUCGAAGAGACUGAAGAACAGAAGAGGAGAGAGAUGGCACUGGAAUUGGAGUGCCAGUCACCAGAAGAUAAUAGAGAAUCUGCUGAAACUCAGUCUGAGGUGUUUGAUGAGGUGCAUGAUGAAGAUGAUGAUGAUGCCAGCUCAAAGGUAAUAGACACUGCAUAUCAAAAUGGGAUAGAUAAAAAAGAACACAGCAAGUCAAUGGGAGACGGUGCUGCAGAAGAGACCUCAAGUUCUGAUUCUCAGAAGCUGUGUAACUCAGAAAAAUGUGAUGAAGGAGCUGGUGAGAGUGGAACAUGUCCUGUUAAUAAAACAACAAGAAAGAAAGAAACAAAAUCUGUUACUGGAAGACCAUCCCGCCAAUCUUCUGGAUAUACAUCAUUUAGUCAUGAUGCAAAACCUGAACUGGACCCAGCAUUUGUGGUGUGUGAUAUUGAAGUAAAAAUAGCAGAUUUAGGAAAUGCUUGCUGGACUUACCGUCAUUUCACAGAGGACAUACAAACACGCCAGUAUCGUUCAUUGGAGGUCCUUCUGGGAGCUGGAUAUGGCACGUCUGCAGAUAUCUGGAGCACAGCAUGCAUGGCAUUUGAACUUGCUACAGGGGAUUAUCUCUUUGAGCCACAUUCAGGGGAAGACUAUUCUCGUGAUGAAGAUCAUUUGGCUCAUAUUAUUGAACUUUUGGGUGAAAUACCUCGAAGGAUAGCUAUGUCUGGCAAACAUUCCCGCCAGUUCUUUAAUAAAAAAUGUGAUUUGCGCCGAAUCUCAGGUUUGAAGCCGUGGGGACUUUUUGAAGUCUUAACUGAAAAAUACGAUUGGGACCCAAAGGAAGCAAGAGAAUUCACAGCUUUUCUUCGCCCUAUGCUGGACUUUGAUCCAGAACGUCGUGCAACUGCUGCAGAAUGCUUGAAACAUCCCUGGCUAAAUUAGUUUAACUCUCCGAUUCGUUAGACAUAUAGCUCCAAAGACAAUCUUAAAAAUGUUUAGUGAUGACAUAGUAGCUAAUUUAAAACUUGACUGGAUCUUUUCACCUUGAUAUUAAUUUCAGCAAUUUUACUCUUUUGUGUUUCCUUCUGUAAAUUUACAAGUAUACAGAAAAGCAAAUACCUUCACCUUUUUUAUGUAUAUUUAAUAAUUCUUUCGAAGUGUUGUGUUUUUAAAUGUGUGCAAGUGAUGCUGAAUACCUGUGCAGAAAGUUUAUACUUCAUUAGACAUUUUGGAAGUACCGGUAUGCAUUGUGAACUUGAGUUUUUCCAAGCUUACCUUAGAACUGGAAAGAAAGCGAUCGCCCAUUAACAUCUUUUAGAUAUUGUGCCCAUUUCCAAUAGUAACCAGCAUGCUCCAUUGCACUGAUUGGG
rnacentral:misc_RNA from 1 species